AUUGAACGCUGGCGGCAGGCCUAACACAUGCAAGUCGAACGAGUGGCGGACGGGUGAGUAAUGUCUGGGAAACUGCCUGAUGGAGGGGGAUAACUACUGGAAACGGAAGCUAAUACCGCAUAACAUAGGAUGGGCCCAGAGGGGAUUAGCUUGUUGGUGGGGUAAAGGCUCACCAAGGCGACGAUCACUAGUUGGUCUGAGAGGAUGACCAGCCACACUGGAACUGAGACACGGUCCAGACUCCUCCGGGAGGCAGCAGUGGGGAAUAUUGCACAAUGGGCGCAAGCCUGAUGCAGCCAUGCCGCGUGUAUGAAGAAGGCCUUCGGGUUGUAAAGUACUUUCAGCGGGGAGGCGUUACCCGCAGAAGAAGCACCGGCUAACUCCGUGCCAGCCGCCGCGGUAAUUC
rnacentral:rRNA from 1 species